GAUGAACGCUGGCGGCGUGCCUAAUACAUGCCAGUCGAGCGAACAGACGAGGAGCUUGCUCCUCUGACGUUAGCGGCGGACGGGUGAGUAACACGUGGAUAACCUACCUAUAAGACUGGGAUAACUUCGGGAAACCGGAGCUAAUACCGGAUAAUAUAUUGAACCGCAUGGUUCAAUAGUGAAAGACGGUUUUGCUGUCACUUAUAGAUGGAUCCGCGCCGCAUUAGCUAGUUGGUAAGGUAACGGCUUACCAAGGCAACGAUGCGUAGCCGACCUGAGAGGGGGAUCGGCCACACUGGAACUGAGACACGGUCCAGACUCCUACGGGAGGCAGCAAUAGGGAAUCUUCCGCAAUGGGCGAAAGCCUGACGGAGCAACGCCGCGUGAGUGAUGAAGGUCUUCGGAUCGUAAAACUCUGUUAUUAGGGAAGAACAAAUGUGUAAGUAACUAUGCACGUCUUGACGGUACCUAAUCAGAAAGCCACGGCUAACUACGUG
rnacentral:rRNA from 1 species